AAAAAAAACCCUGUUAAAUAUUAAAACUGUCAUUCUCAAUCUUUUCAGUGAUGAAUGUCCUGUUUCUGUUGGUUAUAGUUGCUGAAUUCAGUGAUUUGCAAACAUAUAAUUCAGGUUUUCCUCAAGUUGUUCCAAACAGACAGCAGUUCUUUCAAUCAGAGCCUAUCACUAUCAGCUGUGAAGGGCUAAAUGGGCUGACUGGAUGGAGAGUGAUGAAAAAGAUAAAUGGAGAUGUUAGAACAUGUGCUUCAACCUGGGAAACAUCGAUUGGACCUUGCAAUAUUAUUAAUGCAUAUCCUUCAACUGACAGUGGAGAAUACUGGUGUGAAAUGGGAGGAAUACAAAAAAGCAACUCUGUCAAUGUCACUGUAACUGAUUCAGAGAGUCAUGUGAUCCUGGAGAUUCCUG